AACGAACGCUGGCGGCAUGCCUAACACAUGCAAGUCGAACGAGACCUUCGGGUCUAGUGGCGCACGGGUGCGUAACGCGUGGGAACCUGCCCUUAGGUUCGGAAUAACUCCCCGACAGGGGUGCUAAUACCGGAUAAUGUCUUCGGACCAAAGAUUUAUCGCCUUUGGGUGGGCCCGCGUUGGAUUAGCUAGUUGGUAGUGUAAAAGCCUACCAAGGCGACGAUCCAUAGCUGGUCUGAGAGGAUGAUCAGCCACACUGGGACUGAGACACGGCCCAGAAUACUACGGGAGGCAGCAGUGGGGAAUAUUGGACAAUGGGCGAAAGCAUGAUCCAGCAAUGCCGCGUGAGUGAUGAAGGCCUUAGGGUUGUAAAGCUCUUUUACACGGGAUGAUAAUGACAGUACCGGGAGAAUAAGCUCCGGCUAACUCCGUG
rnacentral:rRNA from 1 species